UCUUUUCAUUGUGUGCCAGCAGCCGCGGUAAUACGGAAGGUCCGGGCGUUAUCCGGAUUUAUUGGGUUUAAAGGGAGCGUAGGCCGUCUGAUAAGCGUGUUGUGAAAUGUCGGGGCUCAACCUGGGCAUUGCAGCGCGAACUGUGAGACUUGAGUGCGCGGGAAGUAGGCGGAAUUCGUCGUGUAGCGGUGAAAUGCUUAGAUAUGACGAAGAACUCCGAUUGCGAAGGCAGCCUGCUGUAGCGCAACUGACGCUGAAGCUCGAAAGCGUGGGUAUCGAACAGG
rnacentral:rRNA from 1 species